AGUGAACGCUGGCGGUAGGCCUAACACAUGCAAGUCGAACGGCAGCACAGUAAGAGCUUGCUCUUACGGGUGGCGAGUGGCGGAUGGGUGAGGAAUACAUCGGAAUCUACUUUUUCGUGGGGGAUAACGUAGGGAAACUUACGCUAAUACCGCAUACGACCUACGGGUGAAAGCAGGGGAUCUUCGGACCUUGCGCGAUUGAAUGAGCCGAUGUCGGAUUAGCUAGUUGGCGGGGUAAAGGCCCACCAAGGCGACGAUCCGUAGCUGGUCUGAGAGGAUGAUCAGCCACACUGGAACUGAGACACGGUCCAGACUCCUACGGGAGGCAGCAGUGGGGAAUAUUGGACAAUGGGCGCAAGCCUGAUCCAGCCAUACCGCGUGGGUGAAGAAGGCCUUCGGGUUGUAAAGCCCUUUUGUUGGGAAAGAAAGGCAGCAGGUUAAUACCCCGCUGUUCUGACGGUACCCAAAGAAUAAGCACCGGCUAACUUCGUG
rnacentral:rRNA from 1 species